UAAGGAAUAUUGGACAAUGGUCGCAAGACUGAUCCAGCCAUGCCGCGUGCAGGAAGACGGCCCUAUGGGUUGUAAACUGCUUUUGUACCAGAGAAAACCUAUCUACGUGUAGAUAGCUGAUAGUAUGGUAAGAAUAAGCAUCGGCUAACUUCGUGCCAGCAGCCGCGGUAAGACGAAGGAUGCAAGCGUUAUCCGGAUUCAUUGGGUUUAAAGGGUGCGUAGGCGGGCUUGUAAGUCAGUGGUGAAAUCUCUCAGCUUAACUGAGAAACUGCCAUUGAUACUGCAGGCCUAGAGUAUAGAUGACGUUGGCGGAAUAUGACAUGUAGUGGUGAAAUACUUAGAUAUGUCAUAGAACACCGAUUGCGAAGGCAGCUAACGAAACUAUAACUGACGCUGAGGCACGAAAGUGCG
rnacentral:rRNA from 1 species